UACGGAGGGAGCUAGCGUUGUUCGGAAUUACUGGGCGUAAAGGGCGCGUAGGCGCCUUCUAAGUCGAACGUGAAAUCCCCGGGCUCAACCCGGGAACUGCGUCCGAUACUGGAAGGCUUGAAUCCGGGAGAGGGAUGCGGAAUUCCAGGUGUAGCGGUGAAAUGCGUAGAUAUCGGGAGGAACAUCAGUGGCGAAGGCGGCCCUCUGGUCCAGUACUGACACUCAAGUGCGAAAGCGUGGGGAGCAAACAGG
rnacentral:rRNA from 1 species